CUGGCGGCGUGCUUAACACAUGCAAGUCGAGCGAGGAACUUCGGUUCCUAGCGGCGAACGGGUGAGUAACACGUGGGCAACCUGCCCCGAGCUCUGGGAUAACUUCGGGAAACCGGGGCUAAUACCGGAUAUGACACUACUGGACAUCUGGUGGUGUGGAAAGAUUUAUCGGCUUGGGAUGGGCCCGCGGCCUAUCAGCUUGUUGGUGGGGUAACGGCCUACCAAGGCGACGACGGGUAGCCGGCCUGAGAGGGCGAUCGGCCACACUGGGACUGAGACACGGCCCAGACUCCUACGGGAGGCAGCAGUGGGGAAUAUUGCGCAAUGGGCGGAAGCCUGACGCAGCGACGCCGCGUGGGGGAUGAAGGCC
rnacentral:rRNA from 1 species